rnacentral:tRNA from 1 species
GGGCGUGUGGCCUAGUGGAUAGGGCAGAAGGUUCCUAACCCUCUGAUCGCGGGUUCGAAUCCCGUCACGCCCG